rnacentral:misc_RNA from 1 species
GAACGCACCUUGCGCUCCUUGGUAUUCCGAGGAGCAUGCCUGUUUGAGUGUCAUUUAAUUCUCAACCUUAUUAGCUUUUGUUGAUAAUGGCUUGGAUGUGGGGGUUUUCUUUUGCUGGCUUUCUUCGGAUGUCAGCUCCCCUUAAAUGUAUUAGCCGGUGCCCUGCGUGGACUAUCCGUUGGUGUGAUAAUUAUCUACGCCGUUGGAUGUCUGCAAAUAGGUUUUGCACUGCUUCUAACUGUCUGUUCAUUUGGACAAUACAUGACAAUUUGACCUCAAAUCAGGUAGGACUACCCGCUGAACUAAAG